CUCAAGCGUUGUUCGGAUUCAUUGGGCGUAAAGGGUGUGUAGGUGGCGCCGUAAGUCGGGGGUGAAAUUUCGGAGCUUAACUCCGAAACUGCAUUCGAUACUGCGGUGCUUGAGGACUGGAGAGGAGACUGGAAUUCAUGGUGUAGCAGUGAAAUGCGUAGAUAUCGGGAGGAACACCAGUGGCGAAGGCGACUACCUGGCCUGUUCUUGACGCUGAGGCGCGAAAGCUAGGGGAGCAAACGGG
rnacentral:rRNA from 1 species